rnacentral:rRNA from 1 species
GAUAAACGCUGGCGGCGCACAUAAGACAUGCAAGUUGAACGGACUUAAUCGAAAUAUUUAUAUUUUGAAGCGGUUAGUGGCGGACUGGUGAGUAACGCGUAAGGAACCUGCCUAUUAGAGGGGAAUAACAGUGAGAAAUCAUUGCUAAUACCGCAUAUGCCAUAGAUAUCACAUGAUAACAGUGGGCAAGGAGCAAUCCGCUAAUAGAUGGCCUUGCGUCUGAUUAGAUAGUUGGUGGGGUAACGGCCUACCAAGUCGACGAUCAGUAGCCGGACUGGGAGGUUGAACGGCGACGUUGGGACUGAGAUCCGGACCAGUAUCCUACGGGGGGCAGCAGUAGGGAAUAUUGCGCAAUGGAGGAAACUCUAACGCAGUGACGCCGGGUAUAGGAAGAAGGUUUUCGGAUUGUAAUCUAUUGUCGUUAGGGAAGAGAGAGGACAGAACCUAUAGAGGAAGCUCGGGCUAACUACGU